CAGCAAUCUGACUUUGGUCCGACCCAACGGGAGUUAGUGUAUGAUGAUACCGAUAGUGUGUCAGCAAGCCAUGGGAAAAGACGGAAAACAGGUUGUGUGGAAAGAAAACGGGGACAUAACAAAAAGCACAGUGGUAA